rnacentral:rRNA from 1 species
CCUACGGGAGGCAGCAGUGGGGAAUAUUGGACAAUGGGCGAAAGCCUGAUCCAGCCAUGCCGCGUGUGUGAAGAAGGCCUUCGGGUUGUAAAGCACUUUCAGUGGGGAAGAAAGCCUUGGGGCUAAUACCCUCGAGGAAGGACAUCACCCACAGAAGAAGCACCGGCUAACUCCGUGCCAGCAGCCGCGGUAAUACGGAGGGUGCGAGCGUUAAUCGGAAUUACUGGGCGUAAAGCGCGCGUAGGCGGUCUGAUAAGCCGGUUGUGAAAGCCCCGGGCUCAACCUGGGAACGGCAUCCGGAACUGUCAGGCUAGAGUGCAGGAGAGGAAGGUAGAAUUCCCGGUGUAGCGGUGAAAUGCGUAGAGAUCGGGAGGAAUACCAGUGGCGAAGGCGGCCUUCUGGACUGACACUGACGCUGAGGUGCGAAAGCGUGGGUAGCAAACAGGAUUAGCUACCCCGGUAGUC